ensembl:lncRNA
GCGGCCCCUGCACCGCCGACCUCCAGCAGUUCCCCCUCGCUGUCACCCUGGCCUCGGACGCCGUCGUAAGGAACGCAGGAAGUGGAUGUGGGUGUUGUUGUGGGAGAGCUCUACCUGGACGACGGCCACACCUUCAGCUACCGUGACAACGACGCCUUCUGUCGGCUCACCUUCAACCUGUCAGAGCACCGUCUGUUCUGCGUGUGAGUCGUGCACGCGCGCACACACAUACACACGCACGCACGCACGCAUGCACACACGCACACACAUACACGUGUGCACGCAUGUACGCAUGUAAACACACACACAGACACACACACAUACACACAACAACACAAACAUAUAAACACACACAAACCUAACACACAUAUUUGCACACACCUAGGCUUACCGCCCCUCCCCACACACACACACACACACACACAAUACCUACCUAGCUCCUGGAGAGAUGGAAAGUUCCAGAGCUGGAGCCAAAUGAGUUGAGUGACGUGUUGGACGAGGGACUUUCAGAGACACUCUGAACACUGACAGAGGCGUGACAACACCGGUGGAGAAAUCCUUCUGUCUAUCAUUCAUCCAUCCCUCUAAAACAAUGGUUGUCAAACUCUUUCAAUUAGUGUGUAAAGAAUUUUUUUCAGCUGAGUACCACCUUCACCGGCACAACAUUUGCCUCACGCAACUGUUGGCUAAUUUCUCCCCCCAGAGAAGCACAACACCAGGGGAGGGUCAGAGCAUGUAGAGGGGAAUCCCAAUCAAAUAUAUUCCUCCUGAAACUGAGGACAUUUUCGGGUUCCUAGUUGCACUUUCUUUUUCACAGAUUUUCCUUUCUCCUUGUGGUCAGAUUUAUGUUUUAACCACUUUCACAUCUCAUUUGCUAAAUUUUCUACUGUCUAGCUUUCAGAAUAUAUAUAUAUAUUUUUAAAAUUCCCUGAGUACCCCCUGCAGUACUCCAAAGUACCCCUAGAGGUAUGCGCACCCCCAUUUUCAAACCACUGCUCUGAUAAACCCAUGUUCAUCAUCAUCAUCUGUCGUCUCCAUCAUUUAAUUGCUCACCCACAAUCUGCUCCUCUAUGCCCAUAACCCCGCCACUUUUACACCUGCUACCCCCCCCUUCCCCCCCCACUUGCAUCAUAUCUGGGGGCUCGUCUGGGAUGAUGAAUGAGUAGUUGUCUGACAGUCACCUGCACAUAACAGAGGGAAACUAAACAGAAAGAUACAAAUAGUGACCGUAACAUUCGUCCAUCCAUCCGUCUAUCUAUCCGUCAACCCAUCCUUCUAUUCAUCCAUCUCCAUCAUCCAUCCCUCUGUCAUCCCUCUGUCAUCCACCCCUCCCUCUAUCAACCAUCCAUCCCUCUAUCAACCAUCCCGCCUCCAUCCAUCCAUCUCCCUCCCUCCCUCCCUCCCUCCCUCCCUCUGUCUCAGCUCAGCGGGGGGGCUGGGGUGAGUAGGACUGCGGCCGUGCGUUCCAGACCGUCGUCAUCCUCGGGAGGAAGAGCGAGCCUUCCUCGGUGACUCUGCGCGCGGCCGGUGAGGAGGGGGGUUACCGUAGCAACCAAUGUUUACGUGUAAAAAAAAAAAACUGGCAGAACUUCCUGUUUAGUUCCUCAUUGUCCCCCAAGACAAUUGACGGUGAUUGUGAUCAAACAAAGGGGCCUUUUCAAGGUGUAUGUCCUACGUACACAAGGCCCUCACCUUUGACCUUGGCUUGUUGUGGUUCCAGGUCAGGAGGUCGUGGCCUGUGUGUUUCAGUAUGAAGAGGAGCGCUCCAUGCUGACACUGGGAAACCUCAACCUGCAAGUAGGGAGGGACUGGGAGAUUCUCCUCGCUUAGCACUGGCUCGUGCUUGUUAUCAAUGAUUCGCAUCAGUUAGCAAUGAUUAGCAUCAGUAAGAAAUGUAACUGACAUUUUUAACUGUAACUGUAACUGUAAAAAAACAACGGAAUCCGAACAAUAACAUCCACAUGACGAUUAUACACCACGGAUUAAGAACUCAAUACACAUCAGGAUCUAGUUAGGCUCCAAGGUUUGUUCUGUUUCCUGUUCUAGACACAUUCAGCUCCCACAUAGACUGGAUACUAUGGUGGGAAUUUGGACCGCGUCAAUUGUUUAUUUUUUAAACGUUUUACAAAUAAAGAUUCAUCCAAACUUAUAACAAUUAGGCUAAUUUAUUAAAGUAAUAAAACCUAUAACAACAUACAACAGUCAUGCACCAAUCCGAGGCCUCCGAUGGGAGUUCACCCUGCGUCUCUCUAAGAACUCUGCAAGCAGAAGUCCAAUGUAUUGGAAAAAGCAAGGACUACUUAUACAGUGACAGACAGGUCUCAGGAUGCUGAGAACAGCUCUGCUCCCCAGUUAAACUAUAGUAGGGUUAACCAGAUGGUAGUCAACGACUGAUGUAACUCCUCAGGAUGUCAUGAAGGGGGAUGUAGCAUUGCCUUAUCAGUUGGAGCCCUUGCUCUUCAACCUUCCCAAACAGGCUCAGGAAACAGGCACAUAACAAGAAAUGGCAGUUUCUGAGAAAAGGAAUGUGAGAAUCGAUUAUUCUUUCUUUAAUCUGUAACUUCAGAGGUUUGAUGUUGACUAUACAGUUUCCAUUACUUGUGAAAUAAACUGCCAAAUUUGGUCUAUUUCCUUUAAAGCACCAAUCAGCAGUUAGAUGAAACAGUCUGUCUUUAAAUGAUUGGUCUAACGGUCUCUGUUGAAUUAAAGUUUCUAAUGUUUAUGCGUGUUUUGUUUCGGAGGGCUCUUGCCGUUGAGGCCCUUUAGCUCUGGCCUUCGUUAAACACUCCCCUGCCCAGCAGCAGCUGUGUGGGUAGAAGUUCAUCCACCUUUGGUUGCCGGUUCUCCAUACCGCACAUGAUGCAACCAUCAGCAGAGUCCUCGUGCUUCUGUUUGUCAAACCAACGGAGAAAACAGGAGCCUGUUUUGAAAGACUGCAGAGAGUCUGAAAGACUGCAGAGAUCAUGUGAUCAGGACUGACACAUGAUCAGGAGAAGUUGGUAUUCAAAUAAUUAAUAAUAAUUAUAUAUAUAAUAAUGUGAAAAUUAUAUAUUUUCCCAUUAUUUAUAGCCCCCAGGUGACUCUGAAAUACAGAAAAUAUUUGACGUUCAUGUAGUUUGAACUUUGCUAUCAUCACACAGGCCCCAACAUCCCUCCACGUUUCCCAAAUAGCCUUUAGCGAGGCCAGCACACAAAAUGGUGUACAUCUACUACGGGAUACAACUCACAGCGUAUUCCCAGCUGGCACAUGGAAGCCAUGGCACCGCCGUACACGCACGGUAGGAGCCCAGCCGGCUGCUAGGCCGUAGCGUUUAGCCUGGGGUCGUUGUGCUGAGGCGGCUGGAUGGGUGAGAAUGGGUUUAAAGGUGCUGAAUGCCUUCUGCUGAUCCAGAACAUCCCCUGACCGGCCCCCUACUCUGACCUGCG